CACCGUCCGUCACACUAUAGGAGCUGGCCAUGUUUGAAGUCAUUACCCUUAACCGUAAGGAGGGGGAUGCCUAAGGCUAGGCUUGCGACUGGAGUGAAGUCGUAACAAGGUAGCCGUACUGGAAGGUGCGGCUG
rnacentral:ncRNA from 2 species